rnacentral:RNase_P_RNA from 1 species
CCAGACGGUUGGACGGCCGCCGGUGGUGCAAGCCAUGGGAGGAAAGUCCGGGCUCCACGGAAGUACGGUGCCGGCUAACGGCCGGCGGGGGCGACCCCAGGGACAGUGCCACAGAAACAUACCGCCUUCGGGUUCGCCCAGGGUAAGGGUGAAAUGGUGCGGUAAGAGCGCACCGCCUCGCUGGUAACAGGGAGGGCAGGGUAAACCCCACCGGGAGCAAGACCGAAUAGGGGCGGCCGGCGCCGUGCGAAAGCAUGGGCGCGAAACGAUUUCCGGUUUGCCGCCCGGGUUGGUUGCGUGAGGCGGGCGGUAACGUCCGCCCCAGAUGAAUGGCCGUCCAGCGUCCCUAGGGGCGUGGACAGAACCCGGCUUACAGACCGUCUGGAUUU